UGGGGAAUAUUGGACAAUGGGGGCAACCCUGAUCCAGCCAUGCCGCGUGAGUGAUGAAGGCCUUCGGGUUGUAAAGCUCUUUUGGCGGGGACGAUGAUGACGGUACCCGCAGAAUAAGCCCCGGCUAACUUCGUGCCAGCAGCCGCGGUAAGACGAAGGGGGCUAGCGUUGUUCGGAAUUACUGGGCGUAAAGCGAGUGUAGGCGGUUGCCGUAGUCAGGUGUGAAAGCCUUGAGCUCAACUCAAGAAAUGCACUUGAUACUGGGUGACUAGAGGACCGGAGAGGAUAGUGGAAUUCCCAGUGUAGUGGUGAAAUACGUAGAGAUUGGGAAGAACACCAGUGGCGAAGGCGGCUAUCUGGACGGUUACUGACGCUAAGACUCGAAAGCGUGGGGAGCAAACAGGAUUAGAUACCCUGGUAGUCCACGCCGUAAACGAUGGGUGCUAGACGUUGGCGAGCUUGCUCGUCAGUGUCGCAGCUAAACGCGUUAAGCACCCCGCCUGGGGAGUACGGCCGCAAGGUUG
rnacentral:rRNA from 1 species